rnacentral:tRNA from 1 species
UGUUACGUACGCUUAAUGGUAAAGUCGCCAUACCCCGAAAGGGCAAAUGGGUAUGUGGGUUCAACUCCCACCGUAACAC